CCUACGGGAGGCAGCAGUAAGGAAUAUUGGUCAAUGGGCGCAAGCCUGAACCAGCCAUGCCGCGUGCAGGAAGGCGGCCCUAUGGGUUGUAAACUGCUUUUGAACAAGAGAAAACCUCGGUACGUGUACCGAGCUGAUAGUAUUGUUAGAAUAAGCAUCGGCUAACUUCGUGCCAGCAGCCGCGGUAAGACGAAGGAUGCAAGCGUUAUCCGGAUUCAUUGGGUUUAAAGGGUGCGUAGGCGGCCUGAUAAGUCAGUGGUGAAAUCUCUCAGCUUAACUGAGAAACUGCCAUUGAUACUGUCGGGCUUGAGUACAGAUGAUGUGGGCGGAAUAUGACAUGUAGUGGUGAAAUACUUAGAUAUGUCAUAGAACACCGAUUGCGAAGGCAGCUCACAAAACUGUAACUGACGCUGAGGCACGAAAGAGNGGAGACAACAGAUAGAUACCUACGUAGUCGCACGAACGA
rnacentral:rRNA from 1 species